rnacentral:rRNA from 1 species
UGGGAUUAGAUACCCCACUAUCAUGAACAGUAAUUCGGUAAUCUUAGUAUUAAUAGUUAUGAUCUUUAAAUUAAAAGAAUUUGGCGGUAAUCUAGUCUGUUCAGAGGAAUCUGCCCUGUAAUUGAUAUUCCACGAUGAAUUUUACUUUAUCUAUGCUUGUAUAUCUCUGUCAUUGAAUGUCCUAUUAGGGUAUUUUCUUUAAUCUUUAAUGUGUAAGAUGUCAGGUCAAGGUGCAGCGAUGGUGAAGAAGAGGUGGAUUACAUUAAAUUUAUUUAUGGAUAGUGAAUAUGGAAAUUUUCUUGAAAUUGGAUUUGAAAGUAAUUUCUAUUAGAAUAUAGAUUUGAUUUUAGCUCUAGAUUAUGCACACACCG